AACGUAGGAGACGAACGUUAUCCGGAGUUACUGGGCGUAAAGGGCGUGCAGGCGGUCUGAUAAGUUCGGCGUGAAAUAUUCCGGCUUAACCGGGAUAGGUCGUCGGAGACUGUCGGACUAGAGGGUGAUAGAGGCGUGUGGAAUUCCGGGUGUAGUGGUGAAAUGCGUAGAGAUCCGGAGGAACACCAGUGGCGAAGGCGACACGCUGGGUCGCACCUGACGCUAAAGCGCGACAGCAUGGGGAGCGAACGGG
rnacentral:rRNA from 1 species